CCCUAGUAACUGCGAGUGAAGCGGGAAAAGCUCAAAUUUAAAAUCUGGUGGUCUUUGGCCAUCCGAGUUGUAAUUUAGAGAAGCGUCUUCCGCGCUGGACCGUGCACAAGUCUCCUGGAAUGGAGCGUCAUAGAGGGUGAGAAUCCCGUCUUUGGCAUGGAUCCCAGGGCUUCUGUGAUGCGCUCUCGACGAGUCGAGUUGUUUGGGAAUGCAGCUCAAAAUGGGUGGUGAACUCCAUCUAAAGCUAAAUAUUGGCGAGAGACCGAUAGCGAACAAGUACCGUGAGGGAAAGAUGAAAAGCACUUUGGAAAGAGAGUGAAACAGUACGUGAAAUUGUUGAAAGGGAAACGCUUGAAGUCAGUCGCGUUGACCGAGACUCAACCUUGCUUUGGCUUGGUGUAUUUCUCGGCUGACGGGUCAGCAUCAAUUUUGACUCUCAGAUAAUGGCAAGGGAAAGGUGGCACCUUUUAGGUGUGUUAUAGUCCCAUGUCGCAUGUGAGGGUUGGGAUUGAGGAACUCAGCAUGCACCUCUGGGUGUCGGGGCUUUGGCCCACGUUACAUGCUUAGGAUGCUGGCGUAAUGGCUUUAAACGACCCGUCUUGAAACACGGACCAAGGAGUCUAACAUACCCGCGAGUGUUCGGGUGGAAAACCCGUGCGCGUAAUGAAAGUAAAAGUUGGGACCUCUGUCGUGGAGGGCACCGACGCCCGGACCAGACCUUCUGUGACGGCUCUGCGGUAGA
rnacentral:rRNA from 1 species